rnacentral:rRNA from 1 species
CAGCAGCCGCGGUAAUACGAGGGGAGCUAGCGUUGUUCGGAAUUACUGGGCGUAAAGCGCGCGUAGGCGGCUUUUUAAGUCAGAGGUGAAAGCCCGGGGCUCAACCCCGGAAUUGCCUUUGAAACUGGAAAGCUAGAAUCUUGGAGAGGUCAGUGGAAUUCCGAGUGUAGAGGUGAAAUUCGUAGAUAUUCGGAAGAACACCAGUGGCGAAGGCGACUGACUGGACAAGUAUUGACGCUGAGGUGCGAAAGCGUGGGGAGCAAACAGGAUUAGAUACCCCGGUAGUCCCUGUCUCUUAUAC